GACGAACGCUGGCGGCGUGCUUAACACAUGCAAGUCGAACGAUGAAGCUGGAGCUUGCUCCGGUGGAUUAGUGGCGAACGGGUGAGUAACACGUGAGCAAUCUGCCCUUGACUCUGGGAUAACUGCGGGAAACUGUAGCUAAUACCGGAUACGACACCUUGGGGCAUCCCAGGGUGUGGAAGGAAUUUCGGUCAAGGAUGAGCUCGCGGCCUAUCAGCUAGUUGGUGAGGUAAUGGCUCACCAAGGCGACGACGGGUAGCCGGCCUGAGAGGGUGACCGGCCACACUGGAACUGAGACACGGUCCAGACUCCUACGGGAGGCAGCAGUGGGGAAUAUUGCACAAUGGGCGAAAGCCUGAUGCAGCAACGCCGCGUGAGGGAUGAAGGCCUUCGGGUUGUAAACCUCUUUUAGCAGGGAAGAAGCGAAAGUGACGGUACCUGCAGAAAAAGCACCGGCUAACUACGUGCCAGCAGCCGCGGUAAUACGUAGGGUGCAAGCGUUGUCCGGAAUUAUUGGGCGUAAAGAGCUCGUAGGCGGUUUGUCGCGUCUGCUGUGAAAAUCCGAGGCUCAACCUCGGACCUGCAGUGGGUACGGGCAAACUAGAGUGCGGUAGGGGAGAUUGGAAUUCCUGGUGUAGCGGUGGAAUGCGCAGAUAUCAGGAGGAACACCAAUGGCGAAGGCAGAUCUCUGGGCCGUUACUGACGCUGAGGAGCGAAAGCGUGGGGAGCAAACAGGAUUAGAUACCCUGGUAGUCCACGCCGUAAACGUUGGGAACUAGAUGUAGGGGCCAUUCCACGGUUUCUGUGUCGCAGCUAACGCAUUAAGUUCCCCGCCUGGGGAGUACGGCCGCAAGGCUA
rnacentral:rRNA from 1 species